rnacentral:misc_RNA from 1 species
GAAGAAGAACGCAGCGAAAUGCGAUAAGUAAUGUGAAUUGCAGAAUUCAGUGAAUCAUCGAAUCUUUGAACGCACAUUGCGCCCGCUAGUAUUCUGGCGGGCAUGCCUGUCCGAGCGUCAUUUCAACCCUCAAGCCCCCGGGCUUGGUGUUGGGGAUCGGCGAGCCUCCGCGCCCGCCGUCCCCUAAAUCUAGUGGCGGUCUCGCUGUAGCUUCCUCUGCGUAGUAGCACACCUCGCACUGGGAAACAGCGCGGCCACGCCGUUAAACCCCCAACUUCUGAACGUUUGACCUCGGAUCAGGUAGGAAUACCCGCUGAACUUAAGCAUAUCAAUAAGCGGAGGA